CAAAAAAGUUAGGAGAUUAUUAUAAAAAUGACUACCACCUUAAAAAGUUUAGUCGCAUUUCUUUUCACUGCCCUUUUCAUCUUAUCUUCCGUUCAUUGUCGACCGACUGCUACAAAUAUUCCAGGUUAUGAAGUAAAGCAGAUGGAUAAACAAUGUUUCGAUGAAGAAAUAUGUAAUCGUGGAGGAGCAGGCGCCUGCCAUUUUUGGUGUAGAGAUCAUGGUUAUUACUAUGCCAUAUGUACUACUGAUGCAUGUUGUUGUCAGAUUUAUUAAAUACUUAGUUAAUAUGUCCAAAAUAAAACAAUUUAAAUAAAAUUGUAACGACUCUGAUUUUUGGUCGAGCCUU